AAUUUGGCCUCAUCUUUUUUCAUCAGAGAACUUCCUCAAAUCUAGCCAUGAUUUCCAGUAGUUCAAAAAUCAUUUGACAGUUACACAAAUAUGGUGGCACAAUUAUACAAAAUCGUGACAAGAUUUGUCAAGAGACCCGAAUAUUCACAAAUUCGCCAUAUUUCAGCUCAAACUUAUAUCCAUUUCAUAUUACUCAUUCCAUCACAAACACCAAACCUACCUAAACCAAACAAUCCUUAUACAUCAAACAUUAAACUCAAUCUCAAUCUCCUUAUCAAAAAUCUACGCAUUUCACUAAAACAUCAAAAACCUCACAAAUGUCUCCAACCAAGAUAACAAGACAAUCCAAAGACACCAAUGCAUCCAACAAUGCACCACAACCACCACCCUACCAAAGCUUCAAAUCCAAAGAACGCGAUUUUUGAAACCAUUGUCCGGUUGAGGGGGUGGGAGAGUUUAAAUAAUAUGGUGAAUGAAGAUAGCAACAGAACAAUUGCAGAGAACAUGAGGGCCUAUACGCAGGGGCAGAUGGGAAGAGAAGCCGAACAAGAACGACAUUUACAAGCUAACUUAUACAGGGGCCAUAAUGGAUAGCUGAGAAUUUCAUGUGAACUGAACACCUUGUUUAGGUCAAUUUAUGUGUUGCAUUUUCUUUCUUAUUUUCAGUUAUUCCUUUUGCUUUUGAGUCAAAACUAUGCGUCGAAAGUAUCUGUUUGAAUUUAUGUUGUAUUCCCCUAUCUUUUGUACUUCACCGUUCUUGUUUAUUAUUAAUGAUUUUUCUUGUUUUUGAAAUUUACUAGUUUAGUAACCAUUAUUUCACCAAUGGUACUUCAAAAGUCAUAAGGAGGUAGAACUUGAAUUGAUGUUCUUGGAUUUAUUUAGGUAUUCACAACUUCCAAAAAUCUCAUCUUGUAAGGUUUAAACUAAAUAUUUCCACUUUAUACUCUUUAUUCUUAU
rnacentral:lncRNA from 1 species